UCAAGAUCCUGCACGCGCAGACGGUUUCAGGCCGGCCGCCUUUCUUCCGCGCGGAAUCCCCCUUCUACUCGCGACGCUCUGCCAGCAGCAGGCCCCAUCCACCAAAUACUCGCGAGCCCACGUGGCGGGCACUGCGGGGCCCAGGGUUGUUGCCCUUCCAGGAGCGCUUCCUGCCAUCCCUUCGGCUCCUUGGAGAUCUGGCACCAUGGGACUUCUGGCUCUUCCUCAAAGUCAAACUGACCACGAAAGGAAAAUGUUUUGAAUCUCUUCAAGACAUCGAGGCAUCCACAACAGCACAACCAAAGACUUCCAGAACUGUUCCAGAAAGUGGCAAGAACGACGGGAUGAAUGUGUUCAAAAUGAGGGGGAGGGCUGGCCAUGGAGGCACCUGCCUGUAACCCCAGCACUUCGAGGCCAAGGCAAGAGGAAUGCUGUGAGUUCCAGGCCAGCCAGCGCUUCAUAGUGAUUCAAAGCCAG
ensembl:lncRNA